AGUCAUGUUGAGAGUGAAGGGAACAACAGUAGCAUAUAUUACUGCCCCAACUGUGCUAUUUUCAGGUUAAUUUCAUGUAACUCCCUCUUGGAAUUAAAUUAAGCAAGAGCGUUAAACUACUUUGUGUUUAAUAGUAAGUCAUCCAUUUAUUCAUUUGUUGAAUAAAUACUUGAAUGACUUCUUUGUGUCAAGAUGUGUGGUUCUUUGCCUCAUAAUAUUUGUCAGGAGAGAAAAAGACAGUAAGUAUAUUAAUAAAAUGCUAAUGACUGGGUACAACAAAUGCCAGGUAUAUAGCGUAGUCAACUGGAAAUUACCAGGAGGUAAUUUCACUGAGACAGGGCAAUUGUGAGAGGCUUCUCUGAGAAGGUGCUCCUCCAGCUACUCCAAAGUGACCCAUACACUGCUCAUGGAACCCAAAGGACACCAAGGAGGCUAAAGCACCAAGUGACGAAAGGGGAAGCUAAAGCUGAGAAGUCCUACGUGAAAAAGCCAAGAAAGAGUGCAAGGCUAUGAGUUUAAGCCCCAGUACCAACAGGAAACACAAACACAAACAAAAUAACUGCUGGAGAAGUCACCUCAAUAAGGCCUAAGGAGGAAGUCUGUACUUCAAAACACUGGGAGAUUAUUUAAGGGCAAGUAGGUGAGAUACCUGACGUGAUUCACAUUUCAAAUUAUUUAGAAACAAUCUCAAAUUGUGAACCCCUCUUUUAUAAGCUGUACAAUGCAAAAAUUAAAGUCCAAAAUGUCAGUUAUCUCGGUGGGAAUAGUCUUUGAUGGCUGAUAUGGAAGCCACAGGAAGACAAAUAAAUUUAUGAUUCAUAUGAGAAAAGGCUAAGUAGUAAAAACUUUAAUCAGCACUUCAAGGCAAUCAGAAAGGAUGUCAUUAAACAAUACGGGCUUGUAGACAAGUUCUGAAACAUCCUUUUCAUAUAGUUCAGGAACAAUAGCUAGAUUUUCUUUACUGAUUUUAUGUAAUAAUAUUUUACUAACUGCCCCAGAACUGUUUUAAGGCAGUAAUUAAAAAAAGAAAAAUAAGUCAACUGAAUAGCCUGGGAAAGUGAUCUCACUCAUAUUUAAUAUUACCAGAUGAUGAUGAUGUCACAUGAUGAUGUCACCUUGAUGGCAUAAAAAAUUCCAGACAAUUUUUCCAAUAGGUAUUUUCAUCCCACCUAUUUUUGUCAUCUCUAUGGAAAAUCAAAAUCUGUUGUGAAUUAUUUCUGAGUAAUGAGUUUGACUGGACUAAUAAAUGAGUCACUCUAAACUGAACUACUGAUGCUGUGUGCUAUUUACUCAGUAUGGUAGUGU